GAUGAACGCUGGCGGCGUGCCUAAUACAUGCAAGUCGAGCGAACGGACGAGAAGCUUGCUUCUCUGAUGUUAGCGGCGGACGGGUGAGUAACACGUGGAUAACCUACCUAUAAGACUGGGAUAACUUCGGGAAACCGGAGCUAAUACCGGAUAAUAUUUUGAACCGCAUGGUUCAAAAGUGAAAGACGGUCUUGCUGUCACUUAUAGAUGGAUCCGCGCUGCAUUAGCUAGUUGGUAAGGUAACGGCUUACCAAGGCAACGAUGCAUAGCCGACCUGAGAGGGGGAUCGGCCACACUGGAACUGAGACACGGUCCAGACUCCUAAGGGAGGCAGCAGAAGGGAAUCUUCCGCAAUGGGCGAAAGCCUGACGGAGCAACGCCGCGUGAGUGAUGAAGGUGUUCGGAUCGUAAAACUCGGUUAUUAGGGAAGAACAUAUGUGGAAGUAACUGUGCACAGCUUGACGGUACCUAAUCAGAAAGCCACGGCUAACUACGUG
rnacentral:rRNA from 1 species